rnacentral:rRNA from 1 species
AUUGAACGCUGGCGGCAUGCCUUACACAUGCAAGUCGAACGGUAACAGGUUAAGCUGACGAGUGGCGAACGGGUGAGUAAUAUAUCGGAACGUGCCCAGUCGUGGGGGAUAACGUAGCGAAAGCUACGCUAAUACCGCAUACGAUCUACGGAUGUAAGCGGGGGAUCGCAAGACCUCGCGCGAUUGGAGCGGCCGAUAUCAGAUUAGGUUGUUGGUCGGGUAAAAGCUCACCAAGCCUGCGAUCUGUAGCGGGUCUGAGAGGACGACCAGCCACACGGGAACGGAUACACGGUCCAGACUCCUACGGGAGGCAGCAGUGGGGAAUUUUGGACAAUGGACGCAAGUCUGAUCCAGCAAUGCCGCGUGCAGGACGAAGGCCUUCGGGUUGUAAACUGCUUUUGUACGGAACGAAACGGUGAACUCUAAUAUAGUUUGCUAAUGACGGUACCGUAAGAAUAAGCACCGGCUAACUACGUGCCAGCAGCCGCGGUAA